GAUGAACGCUGGCGGCGUGCCUAAUACAUGCAAGUCGAGCGAACAGACGAGGAGCUUGCCCCUCUGACGUUAGCGGCGGACGGGUGAGUAACACGUGGAUAACCUACCUAUAAGACUGGGAUAACUUCGGGAAACCGGAGCUAAUACCGGAUAAUAUAUUGAACCGCAUGGUUCAAUAGUGAAAGACGGUUUUGCUGUCACUUAUAGAUGGAUCCGCGCCGCAUUAGCUAGUUGGUAAGGUAACGGCUUACCAAGGCGACGAUGCGUAGCCGACUUGAGAGGGUGAUCGGCCACACUGGAACUGAGACACGGUCCAGACUCCUACGGGAGGCAGCAGUAGGGAAUCUUCCGCAAUGGGCGAAAGCCUGACGGAGCAACGCCGCGUGAGUGAUGAAGGUCUUCGGAUCGUAAAACUCUGUUAUUAGGGAAGAACAAAUGUGUAAGUAACUAUGCACGUCUUGACGGUACCUAAUCAGAAAGCCACGGCUAACUACGUG
rnacentral:rRNA from 1 species